CCAAAUUUUUAAGUUAAGAUUUGUGAAGAAAGAGCUUUUAUAUAAGAGUUUUUAGGCUUAUAUUUAAAUUUUUUCUUCAUAAAUCUUAGCUAAGAUUUGG
rfam:Arabidopsis thaliana chromosome 5, complete sequence.